UCUGCCAGGACUAUUUUUCAGAGAGGCUGCUGUUCUAUCCAGACACUUGUGUGACACCUUCAAGCUUCUCCAGUUGCUAUUGUGCUGUGCUUGAGAUGUGCAUAACAAAAUGUAUUGAUGUUGAAAGAGUUUUACAAUGUUAAGAGACUAGAAUCCACUGAAAUUCAGGAGACAGGUUGACCUUACGCCGGAGGGAAGAGCUAAAAGACUGAGGACCAUCCCAGCCCA